rnacentral:lncRNA from 1 species
GCUUUUUGGCUAAGGUGGUGGUCACUACACAACUUCAUCUUGAAUAUGUGUUAUGCAAAUCAAUAACAUGCUUUGAAUGAAAUGGGCAUGAGUUCUAGCAUUUGGAACUAAAUGAUGAAACGCCUUCUAAGUAGCAACCAAGCAAGGAAUAAUGAGAUCAUGCAACGACUUAGAAAACAAAGAAUGCACAGAUUUUAACUCUCCAAAUAAGCGUUUAGGCUCAAGUCUCACAAGGUUGUAGCGUUAGUUUGAGUUCCUUCCUUCAAGCAUGUUACAAAAACUGAUUUUUUCUUUUAUGAUUGCAUGUGAAUUCAUAAGUUAUAACCACAACUAAACAUAACAAAGAGUAAAUCAAACUUUCAUCCAUGUUAGUCACUUUCUUUAACAGUCAUGCACUUAAAAACCAAAUCCUCAUCAUUGUGUUGGAAGGUACCCUAAGACACAAACAAUCACAAAAACAACUCUUUUUGGGUUUUUUAAAACAAAUUUUUCAAAUUUUUAUGUAAUUUUCGGAUUUUUACUUCAAAACACACUAAAACACAUCAAAACUGCUCAAAAACACUUAAAAACAGCAAGGAACAAGUCUUCAAGUUUAGGGUGAUAAAAUCCCACGAAUUUGCAUCUAAAACACUUAGUUACCCCCCCACACUUAAAUCAAACAUUGUCCUCAAUGUUUCAAGCAUAAAAUCGCACUAAACAACAAGAACACACAAACAGCAACUAAACAACUAAAUAGGCAGAUUAGAAAUAAACAACAAAGGGAAGGGUUUAGGAACGCAAAUCUGGAAUUGGAGUGAUUCCUUGGGCUUCCUUUGUUGAAUUGCAUGGGUUGCCUCCCAAGUAGCGCUUUCUUUAACGUCGUACAGCCGGACGAAAAACCCAUUCAUUCUCCAUUUGUGCCCACGGCACCCAAAGAAAUAUCAUCCACGGUUUGUUCGACAAAGUUCUCAAAAUAUGGCUUCAAACGAUGUCCGUUCACUUGGAAUUCAUGACCUGUUUUGAGACUUUGAAUCUGGAUGGCACCAUAAGAAGAUAUGUUAGUUAACAAACGGUCCAAUCCACUUAGAACGUAACUUACCGGGAAACAACCGUAAACGGGAAUUGAACAAUAGCACUUUCUGCCCAAUUGAGAAUGAUUUCCCACGGAUCAUGUUGUCAUGGAAAGCUUUGGUCUUUUGCUUGUAAAUGCUUGCAUUAUCGUACGCCUCAAGCCGUAUCUCAUCAAGCUCAUUCAAUUGCAAUCUCCUUUGACUUCCUGCUUCCUCGAGGUUCAUGUUAAACUUCUUAAUGGCCCAAAGUGCUUUGUGCUCCAAUUCAACAGGAAGAUGGCACGCCUUGCCAUAGACAAGUCGGAAGGGGGACAUCCCAAUGGGGGUUUUGUACGCCGUACGAUACGCCCAAAGUGCAUCAUCUAACCGUAAGCUCCAAUCCUUCCUUGUUGGCCCAACGGUCUUCUCUAGGAUUUGCUUGAUCUCACGGUUAGAAACCUCGGCUUGCCCAUUAGUUUGAGGAUGGUAAGGUGUAGAAACCUUAUGGGUGACACUGUAUUUCCUCAAUAACGCUUCAAUAGUCCGAUUGCAAAAGUGUGACCCUCCGUCACUAAUGAUCACUCGUGGCAUUCCGAACCUUGCAAAAAUGUUAGUUCUAAUAAAAUCUGCAACCACUUUAGAAUCAUUAGUUCGGGUGGCCUUUGCUUCCACCCACUUCGACACAUAAUCAACCGCAAGCAAAAUAUAUGUAAAACCAUACGAAGAAGGAAAAGGACCCAUAAAAUCAAUACCCCAAACAUCAAAAAUUUCAACAUUUAGGAUAGAAACCUGCGGCAUUUGGUCCCUAGCACUAAUACCACCCAUUCGUUGGCAUUUAUCACAUGUUAAGCAGAAAGUUUUAGCAUCUUUAAAAAUACUAGGCCAAUAAAAUCCACAUUGUAACACCUUAAGGGCUGUGCGUUGUGUACCAAAGUGCCCUCCACAUGCAUAUGUGUGACAAAAACUCAAAAUUGAAUGACAUUCAGAAUCGUGCACACAACGACGUAUAAUCUGAUCGGGGCAAAAUUUCCAUAAGUACGGAUCAUCCCACACAUAAAACCGUGCAUCAUGCCUAAGUUUAUCACGUUGGUGCCUAGUGAACUCACUUGGAAUACGUUUUGACACCAAAAAAUUAACAAUAUCGGCAUACCAAGGUGCACUAACCUUAAUGGACAACAAUUGUUCAUCGGGGAAUGUCUCCAAAAUCGGCACCAACUCCUCAUUAUGCACCAUUCGGCUUAGGUGGUCAGCCACCACGUUCUCACUUCCCUUCUUGUCCCGAAUCUCUAUGUCGAACUCUUGAAGUAAUAAUAUCCAUCGAAUUAGCCGUGGCUUGGCUUCCUUUUUGGUGAGCAAGUACUUCAGAGCUGCAUGAUCAGUGAAAACAAUUACUUUAGUUCCAAUUAAAUAUGAUCGAAAUUUAUCUAAAGCAAAGACAACGGCAAGAAGUUCUUUUUCCGUAGUGGAGUAGUUCAAUUGUGCAUCGUUCAACGUCCGAGAGGCGUAGUAAAUGACAUGCGGCCUCUUGUCCUUUCUUUGUCCUAAAACAGCUCCUAAAGCAUAGUCGGACGCAUCACACAUGAGCUCGAAAGGUAGACUCCAAUCCGGUGGAACAAUGAUGGGUGCCGUGGUCAACAAUUCCUUGAGUUGGUUGAAUGAUGCCAUGCACUCCUUGGUGAAUUCAAACGCCACUUCUUUUUGUAGGAGUCGGCAAAGAGGUUGUGCUAUCUUCGAGAAAUCUUUGAUAAACCUACGAUAAAAUCCUGCAUGGCCAAGAAACGAACGAACCUCUCUAACCGAAGUCGGAGAGGGUAAGUGACGUACAAGAUCUAUUUUCGCCUUAUCAACCUCAAUACCCUUUUCAGAGAUUAUAUGACCUAAAACGAUACCUUGUUUAACCAUAAAAUGACACUUUUCCCAAUUAAGUACAAGGUUCGUUUCAACACAACGUUUUAGGAUCACACUUAGAUUAUGCAAGCAACUAUCAAACGAAUCACCAAAUACGCUAAAAUCAUCCAUAAACACUUCAAUUAUCUUUUCUACAUGAUCAGAAAAUAUGCUCAUCAUACAUCUUUGAAAUGUAGCAGGUGCGUUACAUAAACCAAAAGGCAUGCGACGAUAUGCAAAGGUACCAAAACGGGCAUGUAAAAGUGGUUUUUUUUCUUGGUCCUCGGGUGAAAUGACAAUUUGAUUAUAACCAGAAUAACCAUCAAGAAAACAAUAAAAAGCAUACCCGCUAACCUCUCAAGCAUUUGGUCAAUGAACGGCAAUGGGAAGUGGUCCUUCCUCGUUGUGGUGUUUUUAGCUUCCUAUAGUCAAUGCACACCCUCCAACCGGUUUGAAUCCGUUGAGGGACAAGCUCAUUCUCAGCAUUAGCUACCACCGUCACUCCUGAUUUCUUUGGUACGCACUGAACCGGCGAAACCCACCUACUAUCCGAGAUUGGAUAGAUAACCCCACAAUCUAGAAGCUUUAUGAUCUCCUUUUUCACUACUUCCAUCAUCGGAGGGUUGAGACGGCGUUGAGCCUCUCUAGUUGGUUUGGCCCCCUCCUCAAGAAAUAUGUGAUGCAUACAAGUCGUAGGGCUUAUACCUUUGAUGUCGGCCAAUGUCCAGCCUAGAGCAGAUUUGAACUCCUUCAAAACGCGACGCAACUUCUCCUCCUCUUGUGCCGUGAGGGAAGAGGAAAUGAUGGCAGGUAGUGUUUCCUUUUCUCCCAAGAAAAUGUACUUCAGAUGGCUUGGCAAAGGCUUGAGUUCAAGUAUAGGUGCCUGAAUUAUAGAUGGAAGCAAUUUGUUAGUCGAAAUGGGAAUGGACUCACGGUUAGUAUACUUACCAUCAAGCUUAGGUAAGGACUCAAGGGCAGCCACAACUUCAAGUAAUUCCUCACUAGGGGGCACGGCAUGGGAUGAACCAUGUAUGCCGUGAGCAUGCAUGCAAUCAGCCCCCUUUGUUUUGAGUUCCAUGCCUCGUGUAAUGACUUUUUCAAGCACAUCGUCAUUUAAAUCGUCGAGAUAUCCCUGCGCCAAAGAGUCAAUUAUAUCAAUAGAAAAGCAUGAAUGGUCCUCACUAGGGUAUUUAAUGGAAUCAGAAAGAUUAAAAUUAACAACUUCCCCAUCGAAUUCCAUGGACAAAGUUCCACUAUACACGUCAAUCUUUGUCCGGGCCGUCUUCAUGAAUGGCCUUCCAAGUAGAAUGGGCAACGAAGGAGCAUGGUCCGACUCAUCCAUUUCGAGGACAUAGAAAUCUGCUGGGAAGACUAAAUGAUUAACCUGCACAAGAACAUCUUCCAAAACUCCCUUUGGAUAGGCGUUAGAUCUAUCGGCCAAUUGUAUUAUUACCCCCAUCAUUUUUCAACGCUCCUAAGUUCAUAGAUGCAUAAAUGGAAUAUGGCAUAACAUUUAUAGAAGCACCUAAAUCAAGCAUGGCAGAUUCAAACCUAUUGUUCCCAAUAACACAAGGAAUGGUAAAGCUACCUGGAUCUUUACAUUUGGGAGGUAAUUUGCGUUGCAAGAUGGCGGACACAUUCUCACCUACCUUGACCACUUCCUUGGUCGCCAUCCUCUUCCUCGUGGUACACAACUCCUUCAAGAACUUAGCAUACCUCGGAACUUGCUUGAUUGCAUCUAACAAAGGUAUGUUAACUUGAACUUUCCUAAAGGUUUCAAGGAUAUCCUUUUUCUGCCUCUUCUUUCUUCGUUUGCAUGAACCUACUAGGAAAAGGCACAUUUGAAGGGAAAACAUUAGUAUGAACUGAAUUGGACACAUUCUUACCUUUGUGGGACGAAUUGGGCAGAUUUGGGACAUUAGGGACUUGCGGCAAAGGUGGAACCACCUUUGCCGUGGGGCUGCUUUGAUGCCUCCUCUUCCAUUUCCAAAAGUUCAUCCUCAUUAUGACCUGUUUUUGGUGUAGGACCUGCCCCAACUUCCUUACCACUUCUUAGGGUGAUAGCUUUGGCACUUUCGAAACCUCCCUUCGGAUUUGGAAUGGUGGAACUAGGGAGUUGUCCGGGAUCUCGAAACUUACCUACAAACUCGGCAAUCUGCCCAAUUUGUUUCUCAAGUUGAUCCACCCUUUUAUCUUGGUUUUGCAUAGCCUUAGCUUGAUCUUCCUGCCCAUUAGACAACUUAGUUAGUAUCUUAAGAAGUGCAUCAUUGUCAAGAGACGUACCUGAGGCACUUGGGCCGGAUUGGGCUUGAUUUUGGGGUGGGCCGUAGGUUUUGGGAAAGAACCCCGGGGGUUGUUGCCUAAAGCCUCCUUGGUUCUGAGGUUGCUGGGGAUCCCUCCACUUGAAGUUUGGAUGGUCUCGCCACCCCGGAUUAUACGUGUUGGAGUAUGGAUCAUGCCUUGACUGAUUUUGGCCUUGAAACCCAAUGGCAUUCGCACUCUCCCAUCCGCCAUUCUCAAUCAACUGUGGACAUUUUUCAGAGACAUGUCCUUGGAUGGAACAUACGCCACAUAACAGUUGUUCCUUGCAUUUUCAUGCCCUCGGCCAUCUGAGACACAAGAGAAGUAAGAUUAGCCAAUUGUGAAUGAAGAUCGGAAGUCGAACUUACCUCAUGUACUUGGUGCCGUGGGGGUCCUCUUUGGCCUACACCUUCGUACUGUUGAGCGUUCAACGCUCUAUUAGCAAUCAAGACCUUGGCAGCCAUGGGUGUCUUGUCCACCAAUGCUCCCCCCGCCGAAGCAUCAAGCAUUUGACGUUCUAGAGGUAGGAGACCCUCGUAGAAGUAUUGCAACAGUAACUCCUCCUUCAUCUGAUGCUGUGGACAAGAAGCAACAAGUGAUUUAAACCGUUCAUAAUAUGUAGGAAAAGACUCACCUUCUUCUUGCUGAAUUCCGCUUAUCUUUUUGCGGAGGAGGAUGAUGCGAGAAGUUGGAAAGAACUUCUCCAAGAACGCUCUCUUCAUACUUUCCCACGAUGUGACAGUUCCGGGAGCUAACUCAUAUAACCAAUCCUUGGCUUUAUCCAUCAAAGAGAAUGGAAAAGCCUUCAUCUUCAAGAUAUUUCCGUCAACAUUGACGGGAGUCAUACUAGAGCAAACUACUUCAAAUUCUUUCAAAUGUUUGUUAGGAUCUUCCAUGGACAAGCCAUGGUAUUUAGGAAUAUGAUGAAGUAAACUUGACUUUAAUUCAAACUCAUCUGUCUUACCUUGGGCAGCCAUGGGGUAUUGAAUGCACAAGGGCGCGGCAUUAUCCAAACCCGAGGCGGAAAGCUCCUUGAGUGUACGAUUGUCCAUGGCCAUGCCUUGGACUUCUUCAAAUAUCCCUGCCGUGGCUUCCUCCUCCUCUUGUUGUACGUUUUUCUUCAAGGUCAGAUUCGGAACUGGUUGGAUGAUGCUCUUGCUGGUUCCUAGCUCUCCUUAACUUCCUCUCAAAAUCGUCGUCAAAAUCCAAGAUGUUUGUACGAAUCGGUUGAGAGCUUCUAGUCAUACAUUAGUACCUAAGAAACAAGAAACAAAAAUUAGGUCAGAAACUUAAAUUAAGUCAGAAACAAAGUGAAAUAAAAGAAACGAAAACAAUCCAAGGGAUUAGCAAAAUUGCUAAUCCCCGGCAACGGCGCCAAAAAUUUGAUGCGAAAUAUAUUAAGCACACAAAUUAAACCCUCUUUUUGUCAAAUUGUAGUAAAGAUGUAAGUAGGGAUCGUUCUAGACCGGGGAUUAGGAGGGAUUGCUAAACGCUUGGAAACUGACUUAAACACUCAAAAACAAAGUUAAAAACACUAAACUAGACUCAAAGAAUGCAAAACUAAAAGUUAAAACACUUAAACAAACCUAAAACUUAAAACAGCAACUAGAAGGCUCAAAACUGCCUAAAAACCACUUUCUGGGCAGUUUUGAGCACUUACACUAAUCUGGACGAAAUUGGUUGAAAACUUGAAUCAAAACACCUAGAAACACAAAUCAAAACACUUUCUAACUAAUCUAAGACUUCAAAAUAAAGGGGGAAUAGUUUUGGACAGAAAUUGAAAACAAAACAGAAACUUUAAUUAUCACAGAUUGUAAAAACGAUUUUGGUGAAAAGGAUGGAUAAAAGGCUAGUUAGGAGGUUCUUCUCCACACAUGUCACACUUGCAAACAAAACGAUUUUCAGUUGUUCUUCCGAUAAACUAUGAAUACUCAACGCCCCAAGUUAACCGUGAAUUGCACUAAUUAACCCUCAGUUUUUCCAGAAUUUAUCAAGUUGGAUGAUUGCAUACGACAACUCAAAACAUUCCCUACAAGUUCCCUACAUGAAUUGCAUAAUAGAGAUACAAGCAAGAAUCAUUACGUUUUAUGAAAAACAUAAGCAUUGACGAAGCAUUUGUUACUAUGAAUUGCAUGAAACUUAUGCUAAGAAUUCAUUCAACGCGAUCGUUUUCAAGCGAUCUUCACUACUUGUGAUUAUAAGAUUAUAACUAUUAGGUGAAACUCCCUCAUAAUCUAGCAUCAUAUUCAUGCAUGAAAACUAAGCGUGCACUCUCAAUCAACAUACAUAAAUAAGUAUCAAUCAAAUAGAUGAACGAAUUGAAUCCACAACUUAUGAAAUAACAACUGAAUGUAAUCGAAUCAAAUUGCAAGCAUGUACAUGGUUUCGAAUCACCCCCCAACUAAGGGGGUUUAGUUCCUCAUACUCACAACACAAAGUUUAUUGAAUUGAAACAUCGAAGACAUAAGAAAGAUUACACCCUAAAAUGCCAAGGAAGUCCACUUUGAAAUCUGCACAGAAAGCUCCUCUUUCUUCUUCUCCUUGCUGCGGCAGUGAGGGUUAGGGGGUUUUUGGAUGGUUUUGGAUGAGGGAGAAUGGUGGAAAACUAUCUAGGAUAGGUGUAGGGCACGGCUAGGAAGGUUUGGGGUCAGAAAAUAUGGAGUUGGGUGAAGGUUGGGCUCGGCAAAGGUGAGGGACAGGUUCUGGCGUGAAUGGAGUUUCUGGAUGUGUUUUUUGGUUUUUUAGAAUGGAGUUAGGAUGGUAGGGUGGUGCGGCAAGGUGUGGGAAAGAGUUAUGGAGGUGUGGAAUGGUGUCUAAAGGUGGAGGAUGGUGGCUGGAAUGGAUGAAUGGCUGCGGCAAGGAAGGAAUUUGGGUGAUGGUGGCUGCGGCAAGGUUUGGAAAGGGAUAUGGUUUUUCUGAUUUUUAUGGAGAGGGAAGAAGAUGUGCGGCUAGGGUGUAGAAAUAUAUAUAUAUAGGCACUUAAAAACCCUAGCACUUCAGAUUAGAACAAUGGGCUAGGGUUAAGGUUUGUAAAAUAGGGCUUUUUGGAUGGAAAGGUGCGGCAUAGGCUUAGGGAUUUCCAAUCAGAUUUUUUGCAUGUGAACAAGGCCUAGGUGCGGCUGAAACAAUGGGCUAGGGUUAGGGUUUAGGUACGGCAUAGGUCCAAGAGUUAAGGAUGGGUCAUCCAAAAGCCCAAAACCGAGAAUAGAAACUCACGAAAAUGGAAACCUCCAAGAAUAGAAACUUCCAACUUUAGAAACUUUGGUUGCCAAUUCCGAUUUAGGAAAGAUCAACCCAAAAUGGAAACUUUUAGGCUUAGCUUUCCUACUUCAAGUAGGAAACCUCAAAUCUUCAACUCUUCAAUUUCAUCCCAACCUUGCGUUCCAAGCAUGUCCUUUUUACUUCAAGCUCACUUUCUGCUCCAAAAGCUCCAAACUGCAUCAUUUCAUGUAAUACGUCCGCUAAACCUGAAAACACAAGAAAGUAGCUUAAAAGACUACUUUAACGAAGAAAACAUAACAAAGAUGCAUAAGAACUAGCUAACUAAGGCGCAUAAAUAUGCUCCUAUCAGGUGCUCACACUGGUCUUAUUGAGGAGAAUGUGUAGUUGAAGAAUGAGAAAGCCGGUCACGAAGUGGCGCCUGCUUCUUGUUAGGCCAAUUUCUACAAGCUUGGUUAUGUAAACCAUCUUCAAGGUAGGCCGUCAGAUUAUGAGUUUUUCGAGAAGGACUUUGAGACUUUCUCCAUUUCUCCAGUUGAUCUAAUUAACUUCUCAUUUGAGGCUAUCUUUGGUGGAGCAGUUAAGGGUCAGGCAGUCCAGGCAAGGGCGACUAAGGAUGAGCUGAUGGAAGAUUUGGCUGCUGAAGGCGUGCUUCUCGUAGAGAGCAAAAAAGUCCGCAUAGCUGCUAUAACCGUAUAUUUUGGCUUUAACGGCUGCACGAGCUUUGGCCCCCCAUGGCAUGGUGCAAACUUUUUAACUUAUAGAGUCGGUGGGCAAACACGUGCUUCUCAUAGAAAGUAGAGGAUUCCGCGUAGCUGCUAUAGUCAUACAUUUCAGCUAUUGCGGCUGUACAAACCUUAGCCCUUGCAGGGCAUGUUGAAAUUUUUAACUUAUGGAGCCGACGUCUAGACACGUGCUUCUCGUAGAAAUCAGAUGAGUCCACGUAGCUGCUAUAGUCGUACAUUUCAGCUUUAACAGCUGCACGAACCUUAGCCCUCGCAGGGCAUGUUGAAAUUUUUAACUUAUGGAGCUGGCGGCCAGACACGUGCUUCUCGUAGAAAUCAGAGGAGUCCACGUAGUUGCUAUAGUUGUACAUUUCGGCUUUAGCGGCUGCAAGAGCCUUGGCCUUCCCAAGGCAUAUUGCCAAAUUUUUAACUUAUAUAGCCGGUGGCCGGACACAUGCUUCUUGUAGAAAGCAAAGGAAUCCGUGUAGCUGCUAUAGUUGUAUAUUUAGGCUUUAACUCUUGCAAAACUUAAACAGUAGACCGUCAGCUAGAAGCAUUGCUUUUAAAUAAGCAGACGGGUCCACAUUGCUUUUAAAUAAGCAUGCUUCUUGUCAGCUGUUGGGUCGUCGACUGAGCGCCUUACUUACAGAAGCAGACGACCCGCGUGACCAUUUAGGCGUCGUCCCUGGCUCUCGGAGGCGUUUUAGGCUUAAGAUGUAGGUGAAAUCGUGCCUCAGAGGCCAUAGCCUUUGGAGAUGCUGGUCUCUCAAUACGAAUCUCUAGGGCAGCAAUUGUAACUUGACUCCACAAGUCAUUUAACUAGUAUUGCAACAUUUUAGAGUUGGGUUACGUUCUUGCAGACUUACGCGUUGAGGACGAACCAUCUAGUCAUGUGAAUUCUUUCAUGGGUAGGAAUCCUGUACUUAGCGUCUCUUCUGGUUAGAGACCUGGGCUCCUGCGAAAUUGAAUCCUUCCGUCGGCUAAGUCUUUUUAAGAAAAAGACUAUUAUGGCCAAUUCUGGGAUCAGUCUGGCGUAAGUAGUUGAUGCAUUUAGGGGGAAUUGAGCAAUCGGAAAACCCAUCCACGUCUGGAUAUCCUGAAUCAGUUUACCCUCUCCUGAUGAAAGAGCAUACACCAUGUCUGCAAGGGCAUUAGCGUCUUCUGUUGUCACAUGGGUGGUCAGUUUGUUUAUGCAUUCGGCCUAAGCUUGUGAAUAAUAACUUCAAUCUUUAUUGAAAAUAAAGAAAUGUAUUAACUUUGCUUGUAGGCAAUAAUAACAUAACAACUAAUAGUCGUCAACAUGUGAGGUCUUGUUCGUCAAGCUGCUUGAGUCUUCGAACUUUAUUUGUCUUAAACAAUGUCCAAGGAAUGGUGGGAGGUCACAUGUCGUACUUUCUCAGGUUGUAGGCAUUCCACUGUUUUUCGAUCUCUUUGUCUCUCAUAGUGGUGAGGGUAUAGCUGCCCUUUCCAUUUACUCGGCUGAUUUUGUAUGGACCUUCCCAGAUGGGAGUUAUCUUUUUGGAGCCUUCCUGGUGGACGGUUAUGAAGGCUUUUCUGAGGAAUAAGUCUUCUAGCUGGAAUUAUUGGAUUUCGCCUUCUUGUUGUAGUUGGAGAUGAGCUAUUGCUGAUAAACUGCAAUGCGGGUGAUAACUUUCUCGCGCUCUUCCUCUGCCAAGUCUAGGUUUUUGGCCAUCUCAUUCUCGUUCUGCUCAAAAUUCGGCAGUACGGUGCCAAUACUUGGCUCCAUGAUAUUGGGAGGGAUAAUCGCCUCAGAGCCAUACGCCAAGGAGAAUGGAGUUUUACCGGUUGCUUGUCUCUUGGUGGUGCGAUAUGCCCAUAGAACACCGAUGAGCUCGUUUGGCCAAUUGCCCUUCUUGUCUGAGUGGUACUUCUUGAGGCAGUCGAGAAUGGUCUUGUUAGACGCCUUGGCUUGCCCAUUGCCCUGUGAAUACCGGGGCGUCGACAUGUGCUGCUUGAUGCCAUAUUUUUCGAAAAACUUCGCCAAGUCUUUGCCCACGAAAUGCGGACCAUUGUUUGUGAUGAUUGAGUGAGGGAUGCUGAAGCGGCGAUGAUGUUCUUCCAUAUAAAGUGUUCUAUGUCUGUCUGGGUAGUUGUAGCCAUAGGUUCAGUUUCGACCCAUUUUGUGAAGUAAUCGGUCGCUAUGAUCAUCAUGCCUCUGCCCCUAAUAGCAGGUGGCAUUGGUCUUACCAGGUCAAUCGGCCAUUGCAUGAAUGGCCAAGGGCUCGUCUGCGGGUGAAGUUCGUUAGCAGGUAGUGCUGGCACAUGCUUGAAGCGCGGGCAACUAUCGCACCUUUAUACAUACUUCUUGGCGUUUUGAUGCAUGUUAGCCAGUAGUAGCCAGCGUUAAGAGCCUUUUGUGCUAGAGAGCUACCUCUAGAGUGGUUUCUACAAACGUCUUCGUGGAUUGAGCUAAGAAUCUUCAAGUUAUCGGGGAGGCGAUAGGCAGCGGAGAUGUGGUCUUGAGAAGAAUUUGCGAACGAGCAUGUCGUUCGACAUGUAAUAGUGUGCUGCCUUCAUCUGGAGCUUCUUGGACUCUAGUCUGUCGGUGGGGAGCAUUUCGUUGACUAUGUAGUUGAUGAUGGGAUCUUGCCAACUUAGAGUUAUGUUGAUAUGUGCCACCUGAUAGGAGCAUAUUUAUGCGACUUAGUUAGCUUGUUUCUUGCAUUUAUGUCGUUAGUUCUUACUUAUUAUAGUGUUUUAAGCUAUUUUUGUGUGUUUGUAGGUCCAAAUGACAAAGUUGGCAAGAAAGUGCAUUUUGGAGCAUUUUAGAGCAGUUUUGGGGUGGAAUGGAUAGCUUACAUAUGGAGCACCAGCAAUGGACGAAUUUGAAGACCAAAGAUGUCUAGGAAUGUGCUAAAGAAUUGAAGAAAUACAUUCAAGACAAAGAAGAUAAGGAAUCAGCUAAAAUGAAGGAACAUUAUCCAAAACCUUAUCCAACCUUAUCUUAUCCAAACUAACCUUAUCUUAUCUUAUCCUAUCCGAAUCAUAUUCUACCUUAAUUUCAGUUGCAAGGGGGACUCUUUAUCACAUUAGAAUACCUAAUAUCUCAUUCUAGAAGCCCUGAAACAAUGCAAAUAACCAUAUUCCUUUUCCCUUAAAAAUCUGACGAAUUUAAUCCCUUUCUAAAAGCUUUGUGCUGAAUUUCCUAGUCCUAUUCCUCUAAGAUUGUGUAAUCCUUCUCCUCCACAACCUUUGUGCCAAAACCCUAGCCUAUAAACACAUAAUUUUGACCCCAUUUUCAGAUCACCACCCUCUACCAUAAUUCACACAGCCAUUCACCACAAAUUCGUCCACACACAAAAGCCUUAAGUCAGAAAAUCCCCAUUGUGCCGCAGCUGUGCAAGGAAGGAGAAGAAGGAGCCACCUGGAGCCGUGCUUGCCAUUCAAGACAUGAUGUGAAAUAUUCUAACACACAAAUUAAACCCUUUUAUUGACAAUUGUAGUAAAGAUGUAAGUAGGGAUCGUUUUAGACCGGGGAUUAGGAGGGAUUGCUAAUCUACUUAAAACUGACUCAAAAAUAUAAAACUAAGCUAGAAAACACUUAACUAGACUCAAAGAACUCAAAACAAAUUAAAAAGACUCAAAACAGCACAAAACAAUCAAAUAGACUCAAACUAGACACUAGAAGGUGAUUUGGACGAAAAUUGAUUUUAGUUGACUCAAAACACUUUAAAACACUUAAAACACAAGUUUGGACAAAUUCUAACUAAUUUGACACAAUAAAGUAAAGGGGAUUGGGUGUUUGACGAAUUUAAAGUAAAACAAGUAAACUAGACUUAAACAGAUUUUGGCACGAAAUUGGUGAAUUGGAUGGAUGAUAAGCUAGCUAGAGGGUUAUUCUCCACAUAUGACACACUUGCAUACAAAUCGAUUUCCAGUUGCUUUUCCAAUAAACCAUGAACCUCGACACCCCAGAUUAACCAUGAACAGCACUAAUUAACGCUCAGAUUUUCCUUAAGUCAUUGAAUUGGAUGGAUAAUGCAUCGACAACUCAAAUUAUUCUUCGAAAGUUCACUACAUGAACAUCAUAACAAAGAUACAAUCAAAGAUCAUUAAGCUUUGUGAAAAUCAUAAGCAUUGACAAAGCAUUCGUAACUAUGAUGAGCAUGAUACUCCUACCAGGAAUCUACUUAACACGAUUGUGACUAGCAACCUCCACUACUUAUGAAUAUAAGUUCAUAACUAUUAGGUGAAAUUCCCUUAUAUUCUAACAUCAAAUUCAUGCAUAUGCAAACCAAGUAUGCAUCCUUAAUCUACAAACAAGAAUAAGUUCUGAAUCAAACAGUUAAGUGAUAGACGCAUAUUUAUGCGACUUAGUUAACUAGUUUUCUUGCAUUUACGUUAUUAGUUCUUAGUUAUUUUAGUACUUUAAGCCAUUUUCGUGUGUUUGUAGGUCCAAAGGGCUAAGGUAGCAAGAAAGUGCAUUUUGGUGCAUUUUGGAGCAGUUUUGAGCUUGGAAUGGAUUACAUAUGAUAUGAGCAAGAUGGAUGGACGAAUUUGAAGACAAAAGAGGCUAGGAACAUGCUAAAAAUCUGGUGAAACAAAUACAAGUUGCAAGAAGGGAUAAAUUUCUAGAAGGAUUGGCCAAAACUUCACUCAAAACCAUGCAUACCCCAUAAAAUUCAUCAAUGCCGUGGCCUUCCCUUUGUUUUACUUCCACCAGAUUUUUUAGUGAUGAUGCAAUGCCUAUCUCACUAUGACAUUUGAGUGGAUGAUGUAAUGCUUAACUCACCAUGACAUUUGAGUGGAUGAUGCAAUGCUUAACUCACCAUAACAUGUGAGUGGAUGACUCAAUACCUACCCUCACCAACAAUUCUCCACCUUGCCAUGCCUUACCUACUUCAUUCCACCAGAUUUUUGCAUUAAACAUGUCCAUCCUCUUCCUAUAAAUACCAUGGCAGCAACCUCAUUCAAAUCAUCCAGAAAUUAACCAUUCUCCAAGCCUUUCCUUGCCUCUCCUACAUAUCUAAACCCCUUCCCAUCCAUUCCUCCAAAUAACCAACCCUUCAACAUCAUUCCAACCUUGUUGUGGCGGCAAGGAGAAGGAGAAAAGUCCUUGGACGCGCUUGCUAUCCAACAUGGAUCGUUGGAACGUUUAGGUGCUUUCUUCCCUUUGUUUUUCAAUGGUUAAAUUUGUUUAUCUUUGUUUUGUAAUAAUGAGGAACUAAACCCCCCUUGGCUAGGGGGGGAUUCAAAACCAUGUUUAUGCUUGCUAUAUGAUUUGAUUACUUCCAAUUGCGUUUCUUGAAUUGUGAAUUCAAUUUACUUAUCCGUUCGUAUAAAAACUAAUUUGUGUAUGUUGGUUGAGAGUGCACGCUUAAUUUUCAUGCAUGAAUUUGAUGCUAGAAUAUAAGGGAGUUUCACCUAAUCGUUAUGAACUUAUAUUCACAAGUAGUGAAGGUUGCUAGUCACAAUCACGUUAAGUAAAUUCUUGGCAUAAGUUUCAUGCAAAUCAUAGUAACGAGUGCCUCGUCAAUGCUUAUGUUUUUCAUAGAACUUAAUGAUUCUUGCUUGUAUCUCUAUUAUGCAAUUCAUGUAGGGAACUUGUAGGGAAUGUUUUGGGUUGUCGUAUGCAAUCAUCCAAUCUAAUAACUUGUUGAAAAACUGAGAGUUAAUUAGUGCAAUUCACGGUAAUUUGGGGCGUUGAGUAUUCAUAAUUUAUUGAAAUGCAAUUGGAAAUCGUUUUGUAUGCAAGUAUAACAUGUGUGGAGAUGAAACCCUUAGCUAGCCUUCCAUUAUCCAUUCAACCCAAAAUUGUUUAAAAUCUAUUUAAGUUUUUAGUUUAUUCGUUUUUACUUUCAACUUCACCAAACUCAAAUCCCCCUUUUACUUUCUUGUUUUAAAAUCUUUUGUUUACAUUUUUAACUUUGUUUCUUUUUGUUUUUGAGUCAGUUUAGAGGUUUUAGCAAGCCCUCCUAAUCCCCGGUUUAGAACGAUCCCUACUUACAUACUUUGCUACAAUUGUCAAAAGAGGGUUUAAUUUGUGUGUCAAGUAAUUCUCGCAUCAUUAAGUACAUUGCAUUCACGAUUCAUAGAAUCACAACUGGAAGUAAUCAAUUCAUAUUGUAAAUAUGUUCAUAGCUUUGAAUCCCCCCAUAGCUAAAACGAGUUUAGCUCCUCAUGUUCGCAAAACAAAGAUACUUAAACUUAAACAUUGUAAACAAAAGAUGGAUUACACCUAAGAAUGUUCCAGCAAUUCAACUUGAAUGGAAAGCACGUCCUAAGGUCCUCCUUCUUCUUCUUUGCUGGGCACAAGGUUUGGGUGAAGGUUUGAGUGAUGGAUUGUAUGAAGGGACGUGUGUUUAGAAUGGGAUGUGUUGGUCAAUACCUUAGAAGCUACGGCAAUGGCUUAUAUUUAUAGGAGAAGGGAAGGCAUGGCUAGGAAUUAAAUUGGGAAGGAUUUAAUACUCCAAAUCCUCCAAGAAAAAGGUAACAAGACAUAAUCCCAAGAGGAAAAGGGAAUGUAGGAUGCGGCAAGGAAAAAGGGAAAGGGGAAUCCUUUGCCGUGCAAGGGAAAGGGAGAUUUGGUGCGGCAUCCCUCUUUGACUAGGAUUAAGUCUUCUAGAAUCAUUUAUUUAGUGUCCUAGAAUAAUUAGAGAUCUUCCUUACAGCUGGAAAUUAAGUGGUGAAGGAUCAGGAAAAUUUAGGACAAAAUAAGGUAACUUUGGCUAACAUUCAUUCUUUCUUGCUUGCAUCCUUUACUUCAUUUUCUUGAAUUAAUUUCUUCAUAUCUUUAGCAUAAUCCUAGCCUCUUUUGGUCUUUAAAUUCGUCCAUCCACCUUGCUCCAUGCAUGUGCUAUCCAUUCCAAGCCCAAAACUGCUUCAAAAGGCACCAAAAUGCACUUUCUUGCUACUUUAGCCCAUUGAACCUAUAAACACACGAAAAUAGCUUAAAAUACUAAAAUAACUAGGAACUAAUAACAUAAAUGCAAGAAAACAAGCUAACUAAGUUGCAUAAAUAUGCUCCUAUCAAAUUAGCCCACACUUAGCUUUUGCUAGUCCUCGAGCAAAACAAACAAAACACAACCUAGACCUUCCAACAUUUGCCUCAAGGAUUUCCAAUGAAACAUGACAUGACAUGUCAAAGAUGACCACUUACACAGAUUUUAGUCAUCCUUACCCUCGAGCACACACUUAAUCAUAGUCACCACUUACUAGCUCGCAUUUAAUCAAUUAAAACAACAUUUUGAAUGUAGUAACAUGUCUUAGAGAAUUCCCUUAAUUCUUCACCAGAUAUACUCUCUAUUUUCACACAGAUUUUCUGACUACACUCCCUAUACUAGGUAUAUGUGAGAAGAUUGAUGUAAACAUGUAGACUAGUACUCACAUAUGCUUUUAAACAAAGAAGGCAAUUUCUGGAAUUAUUAAUGCAUGUAUAUAUAUGAUCUCAUGAACGGAAUGCCACUACUUAGAAGCAAGAACCAGGGAUUCUAUAUGCUCACACCAAUUUCAAACUCCAUAGAUUGAAACACAUCACACCCAAGAUUGAAGUCUAAGGGUUGUAACGGGGCUAGGGUAUUGGCUAACAAAGAAAAGUAAGAAAAGACAAAUGUUCUUAAAGCAAUAGUGAGCAAAGUAAUGAAAUUGACACUUAGAAUUCACUUUUGAAUGCAAAAAUCCACUUUAAACACAAAGGGAAGAUUCACAAAACACUUAAGGCCAGAUUCAAACUUUUAGACCCUUUCAACAACCAACACUUGUGAGCUCAUUCUCACUUAUUUUCAACUAUUUUUCUUUUUUUUCACGUGUAUUUUUUUUUUUUCAAACCCGUGCCCUAUUGCUUUGGCACACAAAACACACUUUGAAAACCCUUCCCCCACACUUGUUUUUCUGCAUAAUGUUCAUAAAAAGGAAUUUCUUCUAAGUUAUGCUCCACUACACUUUAAGAACAAGGGUAUGGAUAGUCCUAUUCUAGGCUAGGUAGGGAUAAUGUGGCUAACAAAGAAAAUAGGCUAAACAAGGCUCAAAGGGGUUAAACCUACAAAACAAAUGCAUGGGAUGAAGGCUUUUUGGAUCUAGUGGUAACUACUAAAUAACUUCAUCUUGUUAUAUGUUAUGCACUCAAUUUUAAGCUUUGAAUGAAACGGGCAUGAGUUCUAGUAUUUGGAACUAAAAAUGAUGAAAACGCAUUCUAAGUAGCAACCAAGCAAUGAACUAAUGAGAUCAUGCAACGACUUUAGAAAACAAGGAUUCACAGAUUAAUAACUCUCCAAACAAGGAAUAGGCUCAAGUCUCUUAGGGUUGUAGCGUUAGUUUGAGUUCUUUCCUUCAAGCAUGUUACAAAAACUGAUUUUUUUUUCCUGUGUGAUUACAUGUUAAUUCAUAAACGUCAAUGAUAGGAGCAUAUUUAUGCAACUUAGUUAGUUUGUUCUUGUGCAUUUAUGACGUUAUUUCCUAGUUAUUUUAGUAUUUUAAGCUAUUUUCGUGUGUUUGCAGGUCCAAAGGGCUAAAGUAGCAAGAAAGUGCAUUUUGGUGCCUUUUGGAGCAGUUUUGGGCUUGGAAUGGAUAGCACAUACAUGGAGCAAGGUGGAUGGAUGAAUUUGAAGACCAAAAGAGGUUAAGAUUAUGCUGAAGUUAUGAAGAAAUUAAUUCAAGAAAAGGAUGUAAAGGAUGCAAGCAAGAAAGAAGGAAAGUUAUCCAUGUUUCCUUAUUUUGUCCUUAAACUUUCCUAAUCCUUUUCCCACCUAAUUUCCAGCUGCAAGGAGGAUCCUUAAUUAAAUUAGGACACCUAAAACCUGAUUUCUAGAAGGCCUUACCCAUUCCUACAUUGAUGCCGCACCAAAUCUGCAAGGAUCCUUCCUUGCCGCACAAGGAAACAGUUCCCUUUCCCUUUUCCCGACCACAUAUCUUCCUUCCUCUUUUCUUAAAGUUGUGCCGCACCCCACAUUCCCUUUCUUAAUGGAUUUUGACAUUUAUUUCCCUUUUCCCUUGCUAUGCAAGGGAUCCUUCUUUCCUAUUUUCCUUUCCUUUAUUUUCUGCCGCACCUUAGCCUUUAUUCCCUAGGGUUUUACAUAUUUUGGGAGUUAUAUAAGCCGUUGUCGUAGCCUUGGGGGGGAUCAUCAUAUCUUACAUCAUUCAUCACCACAGAGACAUACACCAACAUCCUUGCUGCAACUUACAAUCCAUCCAUUCACUACCAUACACAAUUUCAGCCAUUCUUUCAUACAAACCACCACUCAAACCUUCACCCAACCCUUGUGCCACAACAAAGAGAAGAAGGAGGACCAUUGGACGUGCUUGCCAUUCAAGUUGGAUUGCUGGAACGUUUUUAGGUGUUUUCAAUCUUUUGUUUUCAAUGUCUAAAUUUAUGUAUCUUUGUUUUGUGAACGUGAGGAGCUAAACCCCUUAUAGCUAGGGGGAAUUUCGAAACCAUGAUCAUAUUUGCAGUAUGAAUUGACUAAUUCCAGUUGUGAUUUCAUAAAGUGUGAAUGCAAGUUGCUUAAUUGUUUUAUUUAAAACUUAUUCUUGUAUGUUGAUUAAGGAGGCCUACUUAGUUUGCAUGCUUGAAUUUGAUGCUAGAAUAUAAGGGAGUUUCACAUAAUCGUUACAAACUUAUAUUCACAAGUAGUGAAGGUUGCUGGUCACUAUUGCGUUAAGUUAAAUUCCUAGCGUGAGUAUCAUGAUGUCAUAGUUACGAAUGCUUUGUCAAUGCUUAUGAUUUUCAUAGAACUUAAUGAUCUUUGAUUGUAUCUCUAUUAUGAUGUGCAUGUAGGGGACUAUUGAAGAAUGAUUUGGGUUGAUGAUGCGUAUCCCAUCCAAUUCAAUGACUUAAGGAAAAUCUGAGGGUUAAUUAGUGAUGGCACGGUUAAUCUGGGGCAUUGUCAUUCAUGGUUUAUCGAAAAAGCAACUGGAGAUUGAUUUGUAUGCAAGUGUGUCAUGUGUGGAGAAGGACCAUCUAGCUAGCCCAUCAUCCAUUUAAUUCACCAAAUUCAUCCAACUUUGUUUCAGUCUUUAAAUUACUUGUUUUUACUUUAAUUUCGUCCAAAACCCAAUCCCCUUUGCUUUAGUGUGUCAAAUUAGUUAGAAUAUGUCUUAGUUUGUGUUUUAAGUGUUUUGAGUCAUGUUAAAAUCAAUUUUCGUCCAUAGUCAUUCCUAGUGUCUAGUUUGAGUCUAUUUAGUUUUUUUAAGCUGUUUGAGUCUUUUAAGUUUGUUUCAAGUCUUUAGAGUCUAGUUAAGUGUUUUUAAGUUUGUUUUUGAGUUUUUGAGUCAGUUUAGAGUAGAUUAGCAAUCCCUUCUAAUCCCCGGUUUAGAACGAUCCAUACUUAUCCAUACUACAAUUGUCAACAAGAGGGUUUAAUUUGUGUGUUAAGUUAAUUUUCGCAUCAGUCAACUACAACCAAGUACUAACCAAAGAGUGUAUCAAACUUCCAUCCAUGUUUGUAACUUUCUUUAACAGUCAUGUAAUUAAAAAUCAAAUCCUCAUCAUUGUGUUGGAAGGUACCCUAAGACACAAACAAACACACAAAAACGACUCUUUUUGGGUUUUUCAAAACUUUUUCUAAUGUUUUUGUUAAAUUUUCAUAAUUUAUUUUCAAAACACACUAAAAACACUUAAAAACAGUGAGAAACAACUCUAAAAGUGAUAGGUGGUAAAAUCCAAUGAAAAUCAUGUGAAAAUAGCUUGUUUACCCCCCCACACUUAAAUCAAACAUUGUCCUCAAUGGUUCAAACAUAGAUUUACAUAUAAGCAAACAAACAAACAACGAGCAACCAUGGAAAAAUAAGUGCAGUAAAGAUAAGGGUUUAGGAACGCAAAUCUGGGUUUGGAGUGAGAAUUCCAACGUUCCCUAGUUGAAUGCAUGGGUUGCCUCCCAAGAAAUGCUUGCUUUAACGUCUUCCAGCCAGACGAAAGCUCCUCUUAAGUUCGAUUGGACCCCACGACAUGGAGGGGUAUUUCCUCCACCACAUGCUCCUUAAAAAGGUCGUAGUAAGGCUUCAAACGGUGCCCGUUCACUUUGAAUUCUUGGGCGGUCUUGAAACUUUAAAUUUGGACUGCACCAUAAGGAAAGACAUUAGUAAUAACAAAAGGACCAAUUCAUUUAGAACGCAACUUACCGGGAAACAAAUGAAGGUGGGAGUUGAAAAGUAACACUUUCUGCCCUAUUAAGAAUAUCUUGCUACAAAUCAUCUUGUCAUGGAAUGCCUUUGUCUUCUCUUUGAAAAUUCGAGCAUUCUCAUAAGCCUCGUGCCUAAUCUCUUCAAGUUCAUUCAAUUGAAGCUUUCUAUGAAUGCCAGCCACAUCUAUGUCCAUGUUGAAUGUUUUGAUAGCCCAAUGCGCCUUGUGCUCUAAUUCCACAGGAAGAUGGCAUGGUUUGCCAUAGAUGAGCUGAAAUGGGGACAUGCCAAUGGGUGUUUGUAGGCUAUACGAUACGCCCACAGUGCAUCAUCCAAACGCAAGCUCUAAUCUUUUCGAGUUGGUCCCACGGUCUUUUCCAAAAUUUGCUUGAUUUUUGAUGUGAAAAUUAACUUGACACACAAAUUAAACCCUAUUAAACAUGUAAUUGUAGUAUUAAGCAAGUAGGGAUUGUUCUAGACCAGGGAUUAACUAGGGCUACUAAUCUACACAAUUUAAACUUUAAAACAAUAAACCAGAUGAUGUGAAAAUUAACUCGACACACAAAUUAAACCCUAUUGAUUAUGUAAUUGUAGUAUUAAGCAAGUAGGGAUCGUUUUAAAUCGGGGAUUAACUAGGGCUGCUAAUCUACCUAAAUUAAAUUCUAAAACACUAAACUAGACGUAAAAAACACAAGACUAGACUCUAUAGACUCUAAACUGACCUAAAACACUCAAAUAAGCAAAACUAAGUUAAAAAGACUCAAAACAGGUUCUAAGGACUAUUUGGACGAAUUUAACACUAGUGAGACUCAAAACACUAAUUUGGACAUAUUGAAACACCUUUUUAACUAAUCUAAGACACUUAAUUGAAAGGGGGAUUGAUUUGGACGAAAUUAAUUAAAUCAAACAGAUUGUAAACUAAAGCAAACUAGAUAUGAAAUUAAGUGAAUUAAACGAUGAAAUAGGCUAGUUAGAGGAUCCUUCUCCACACAUAAACAUUUGUAACAUAAAUUGAUUUCCAGUAUUGUUUCUUUAAACCAUGAACGACAAUGCCCCAAAUUAAUCGUGAAUGCACAAAUUAACUCUCAGAUUUCCCUAAAUUCAUUGAAUUGAAUGGACAACGCAUCACAACCAAAUUAUUAUUCUCAAGUUCCCUAUAUGAACAACAUGAUAGAGAUACAUUCAAAGAUCAUUAAGUUCCAUAGAAAUCAUAAGCAUUGACAAGGCAAUUAUAACUAUGAACUGCAUGAUACUUUUGCUAAGAAUCUACUUAACACGAUUGUGACUAACAAUCUCCACUACUUGUAAUUAUAAGUUCCUAAUGAUUAGGUGAAAGUCCCUUACAAUUUAGCAUCAGAUUCAUGUAUGCAAACUAAGUAUGCAUCCUUAAUCAACACACAAGAAUAAGUUAUCAAUCAAAUAGAUAAGUAAAUCACAUUCAUGUUUUACGAAACAAUAACUGAAAGGAAUCAAUUCAUAUUAAACAUAUGUCCAUGGCUUUAAAUUCAACACUAACUAAUAAGAACUUAGUUACACAUGUUCACAACAAUUGAAAAGCAAAUUGAAAUAAACAUUGAAACUAAAACGAGGGAAGAAAGAACUCUUAGAACUCCCAAGGAUGCAGGUGGCUUGUGCACAAGGUCCUCUUUCAUCAAUGGAAUUCACAGCAAGGGUCCUUCUUCUCCAAAAGUGCAGCAAAGAGUUGCAGAAUGGUGAAUAUGGUGUGGCAAGUUGUGUUUCUGAAUGGUAGGGCGGGUGGUAACGAAUUUUGGCUAUAUAUAUAUAUAUAUAUAUAUACAGGCAUGGCACAAACCCUAGGGUAAUUAGUUUAGGUUUAGAACUUAGCAGAAAUCAAGGAUUAGGGCCUAAACGUGCGGCAAAAGUGUUUAAAUCCACCAAGAAAAAGGUUUGGCCAAAUUAAUUUCUGAAAAGGAUUUGCACAACCCAAAUCCAUAAAGAAUAAGGCUAACAAAAUCAGAAUCCAAGGGCAAUUGGGUGAGGAAAGGCACGACAAGAAUUGGAGGGAAAGGAAGAGGAGUGCAAGGCAAGGCAAAAGCCUUCUAGAAGGGAAUAGGCGCCACUUUCUUAGGGUUUCUAGAAACAAUGUGUUUUGUGGCAGAAAUUAGGACUUCUAGAAAGGAAUACUUCUAGAAAUUGCUUCUAGAAAUAGAUAUUUAGGUCCCCUUGCAGCUAGAAUUAAGGCAUGAUAAGAUUAGGAUAGGAUAAGAUAAGAUAUGGUUAGUUUGGAUAAGAUAAGGCUGGAUAAGGUUUUGGAUAAUGUUUCUUCUUUUGAGCUGAUUCCUUGUCUUCUUUGUCUUGAAUUUAAUUUCUUCAUCUCCUUAUCAGAUUCCUAGCCUUUUGAACUCCAAAAAUGUCUAUCCACCUUGGCCCAUACAUGUGCUAUCCACUUAAUGCCCAAAACUGCUAAAAAAUGCUCCAAAAUGCAAUUUCUUGCCAAUUUUGUCAUUUGGACCUACAAACACACGAAAAUAGCUUAAAUCACUAUAAUAAACACAAACUAAUUGCGAAAACGCAAGAAAAUAAGCUAACUAAAUCGCAUAAAUAUGCUCCUAUCAUCAGACUCUAUAGACUCAAAACUAACUUAAAACACUCAAAACAACAAAACUAAGUUAAAAAGACUCAAAACAAACUCUAGGGAGUUAUUUGGACGAAUUUAAGACUAGUAAGACUCAAAACAUUAAAUUGGACAGGUUUAAACACUUUUCUAACUAAUCUAACACACUUAAUUAAAGGGGGGAUUGACUUGGACGAAAUUAACUAAAACAAAUAACUUGCAAAAACAAAGCAAGGUAAAAACAAAUUUAGGUGAAUUCAAGGGUGAAAAGCUAGCUAGAGGAUUCUUCUCCACACAUGAAACAUAUGCAACAUAAAUUGAUUUUCAGUAUUGUUUCUUUAAACGAUGAACGACAAUGCCCCAAAUUAAUUGUGAAAAACACAAAUUAACUUUCAGAUUUUCCUAAGUUCAUUGAAUUGGAUGGAAUACGCAUCGGCAACCAAAUUAUUCUUCUCAAGUUGGUACUCAUGCCAUGGAUUUACCUAACACGAUUGUGACUAGCAACCUCCACUACUUGUAAAUAUAAGUUCAUAACGACUAGGUGAAACUCCUUUACACUUUAGCAUCAGAUUCAUGCAUGCAAAUUAAGUGUGCACCCCUAAUCAACAUACAUAAAUAAGUUCUCAAUCAAUCAGAUAAGUAAACCACAUUCAUGUUUUACGAAACAAAAACUGAAGGUAAUCAAUUCAUAUCAAACAUAUGUCCAUGGCUUCAAAUUCACCUCUAACUAAUAAGAAAAUUAGUUACACAUGUUCGUAACAAUUAAAAAGCAAUCUGAAAUAAACAUGGAAACAAAACAAAGGAAGAAAGAACUCUAGAAACUCCAAAGGAUGCAGGUAGGCUUGCGGCACACUCCUCCUUCUCCAAUGGAAGCCACGACAAGGCAUUGUCCUCUCUCCUCUGCGGCAAAAUAUGGAUUUUUGAAUGGGUGGUGGUGUAGAACGAAUUAUGGUGUGGUGGGUGGUGUUUUUGCCGCUGAAAGGGGUGUAGAAUUAUAUGGGGGGUGGUGGUGCGAAAUUAUGACUAAAAACACAUAUUUAUAGCCUACGGUUUUGACAAAUUCUGAUGGGAAAAGGCUUAGGAUUUUCGGCAAAGGCUUGGGCCUCAAUCUAAGGGGGAAAAGAACUAGGGUUUGUGCAGAUUUUAGGGUUUCUAGAAGGGUUUGGGGAGCCACUUUUGUAGGGAAUUCUAGAAACAAUGUUAUGUGGCUGAUUUCUAGAAGAACAAGGCCUAAAAACAUGCAGCACCAAUGUAGGAACAGAUAAGGCCUUCUGGAAAGGUUUCUAGGUGAUUUAAAUCAGAAAUUAACUCCCCUUGCAGUAGGAAUUAAGUUAGAAUAAGAUUAGGAUAGGAUAGGAUGAGAUAAGAUUAGUUACAGUUUGGAUAAGGUUUAGAUAAUUUUCCUUCUUUCUUGCUAAUUCCUUGUCUUCCAAGUCUUGAAAUAAUUUCUCCAGAUUUGUAGCACAUUCCUAGCCUCAUUUAAGAACCAAAAAUGUCCAUCCCUUGUGCUCCACAUGCAUGCAAUCCAAUUCAGCCUAAAAGUGCUAUAAAAAGUUUCAAAAUGCAUUUUCUUGCCAACUUUGCCAAUUAGACCUACAAACACACGAACAUAGCUUAAAUCACUAUAAUAAGCAUAAACUAACUAAGUAAAUGCAAGAAAACAUGCUAACUAAGUCGCAUAAAUAUGCUCCUAUCAAUUUCCCUGUUCGAAACCUCGGCUUGACCACUUGUUUGGGCGUGAUAAGGUAUUGCAACCUUAUGCGUGACAUUAUAUUUCUUGAGCAGUGCCUUGAUGGUUCGAUUGCAAAAAUGAGAACCUCAAUCACUUAUGAGAACUCUUGGCAUGCCAAACCUUGCAAAGAUGUUAGUUUUAAUGAAAUCUGCAACCACUUUAGAAUCAUUAGUACAGGUGGCUUUUGCUUCCACCCAUUUCGACACAUAAUCCACAACAAGCAAAAUAUAAAGGAAACCAUGUGAGGGAGGAAAAGGACCCAUGAAAUCAAUACCCCAAACAUAAAAAAUUUCGAUAGCGAGAAUGGAUGUUUGCGGCAUUUGGUCUCUUUGACCUAUAUUUCCUGUUCUUUGGCAAUGAUCACAAGUCAUACAAAAAGUUCUAGCAUCCUUAAAGACAUUAGGCCAAUAAAAUCCACAUUCUAAAAUCUUAUGUGCUGUGCGUUGUGUGCCAAAAUGACCACCACAUGCAUAUGUGUGACAAAAAGUUAAAAUUGAAUGAAAUUCGAACUCAUGCACACACCUACGCAUAAUCUGAUCAGAGCAAUAUUUCCACAAAUAUGGGUCAUCCCAAACAUAAAACCGUGCAUCCUUUAAUAGUUUAUCAUGUUGGUGCUUGUUUAGGUUGCUUGGAACUUGUUUAGACGCCAAAUAAUUCACCAAAUCUGCAUACCAUGGUUCACUUACCUUAACGGACAACAAUUGCUCAUCAAGGAACGUUUCUAGGAUAGGUAAUGACUCCUCAUUAUGCACCAAAUGGCUCAAGUGGUCUGCCACCAUGUUUUCACCCCCUUUCUUGUCCCUAAUUUCAAUAUCGAACUUUUGGAGAAGAAGCGUCCAGCGAAUAAACCUUGGUUUGGCUUCUUUCUUUGUGAGCAAAUACUUCAAAGCUGCAUGAUCAAUGUAAACAAUGACUUUAGUGCCAAUUAAAUAAGAACGAAAUUUAUCUAAUGCAAACACAACAUCAGGGAGUUCUUUUUCAGUGGUGGAGUAGUUUAAUUGAGCAUCAUUCAAGGUCCGGGAAGCAUAAUAGAUGACAUGUGGCUGUUUGUUCUUCCUUUGACCUAAAACAGCUCUAAUUGCAUAAUCUGAGGCAUUACACAUGAGCUCAAAAGGAAGACUCCAAUCUGGUAGAAUUAUGAUAGGGGCCGAAGUGAGCAAUUCCUUGAGGUGUUUGAAGGCCUUCUCACAUUCCUUGUUGAACUUGAAUGGCACUUUUUUGUUUUGAAAGAGACGACAAAUGGGCUAGGAAAUUUUGGAAAAAUCAUUGAUGAAUCGCUUAUAGAAUCCUGCAUGUCCAAGAAAAGAACGAACCUCUCUCACCGAAGUGGGAGAGGGUAAGUAGUGUACAAGAUCUAUUUUUGAUUUAUCAACCUCAAUUCCUUUUUCAGAGACUAUGUAACCCAAAACUAGGGCUGGAAAAAAAUCCCAAAAAUCCUAAACCGAACCAAAAAAUUCCCGAAACCGAACUGAAAAAAUCCGAAACCGAAAUUCCAGAAAAUUUCAGUACCCAAUACCGAACCGAUCCCAAAAUUUCGGUACGGGAAUCGGUCACAAGUUUUUGGGAUUUCGGUAAUCCCAAAACGAACCAAAAAUAUAUAUAUAUAUAUAUUAUUUAAUUUUUAAAUAUAUAUUUAGAAUUUUAAUAGUCGUUGGAUUCUGUUGAGAUUUGAUCUCAACUGUUGCAUAUAAAUUGUGUAUGAUUUAUCCUUCCUGGUGUGAAUGUAUAUAUGCGUGUCUAUGUGUGCAUGGGAAACAUGAAAAAGUUUGGCAUUUGGCAUUGUAAAUGACUAGGACAGAUAAGGAGGGGAAGGAGGAGUGAAAUGCACGUUAAUGACUAAUGGGAAUUUUGAUGCUCAAGUCCUCCAUGAAAUUUAAUAUGUGCACAAAUUAAAUUGUAAGUUACAGAUUAAAUUUAUUUUUAUUGCAACAAAUUGGUUUGGUUGUAUACUUGUAACUUACAAUGACCUAUGAAAUUUAUUAAGAAAAUUUAGUUUGUAAUAGAUUGGCAGCCCAAUAAAAAAAAGGUUGAAUUUUAGCCUAAAACAUAAUAUGUCAAAUUUUAGUCCAAAAGCCCAAAAGCCCAAAAUCAUUUUGGGAUUCCUGAAAAUUAGGAUUCCCGAAAAAUUGGUUUGGGAUCAGUAUUGAAUUUUGAAUUCUUGAAAAUUUUGGUUUGGGAAUCAGGACACGGGUUUCGGUUUGGUAUCCCAUACUGAACCACCCCUACCCAAAACUAUGCCUUGUUUUACCAUGAAAUGACAUUUCUCCCAAUUUAGAACAAGGUUAGUUUCAACGCAUCGUUUCAAGAUUAAGGUAAGAUUAUCCAAGGAAGCAUCAAAUGACUUACCAAAAACAUUAAAAUCAUCAAUGAAUACUUCAAUGAUCUUUUCAACAUAAUCUGAAAAAUACUUACCAUGAAUCUUUGAAAUGUGGCUGGUGCAUUAUAUAAACCGAAUGACAUUCGAUGAUAAGCAAAAUUACCAAAUGGGCAAGUGAAAGUGGUCUUUUCUUAAUCUUCCGGAGCUAUUACAAUCUGAUUAUAACCUGAAUAACCAUCAAGAAAACAAUAAAGUGCAUAACUAGUUAACCUUUCAAGCAUUUGAUCAAUGAAUGGCAAAGGGAAAUGACCCUUCCUUGUGGUGGCGUUGAGCUUUUCAUUCUUUUGGAUACGUGUUCUUGGGAACAACUUGUACCGGUGAAACCCACCGACUAUCAGAGAUUGGAUAGAUCACUCCAUAAUCAAGUAGCUUGAUAAUCUCCUUUUUGACUACUUUCAUUAUUUGAGGGUUGAGUCGGCGUUGAGCUUCUCGGGAUAGUUUAGCCCCCUCCUCCAAGAGUAUACGAUGCAUGCAAGUUGUAGGACUUAUACCCUUGAUGUCGGCCAAUGUCCAUCCAAUGGCUGUUUUGUAUUCAUUCAACAUCCUCACCAACUUUUCUUCUUCUUGUGCCGUGAGUGAGGAAGAAACUAUGACAGGCAAAGUUUCUUGGUCUCCCAAGAAAACAUACUUCAAAUGGCUUGGUAAUGGUUUAAGUUCGAGGGAGGGUGCCUGAAUUACUGAGGGUAGCAUUUUAUUAGUAGAAACUGAACUUGAAAUUGGAAUAAAAAACUUACCAUUUUGUUGUGGCAAUGACUCUAGGGCAGCCACCAUCUCAACUACUUCUUCACUAGGGUGCACGACAUGGAUGUCUUCAUGCUUGCCAUGGGUGAGCAUUGAUUCUGCCCAUUGGUUUUUAGGCCCAUUCCUUUUGUAAUGGUUGUUUCAAGGGCAUCCUCAUUCAAAUCUUCAAAGGAUUGUUGCGCCAAUGAAUCAAUUAUAUCAAUAGAAAAACAAGAAUGAUCAUCACUAGGGUACUUUAUAGUUUCAGAAAGAUUGAAAUCAAUAACAUCCCUAUCAAAUUCCAUGGAUAAUUUUCGCAUCAAUUAGUGGUAUUCAACAAAAUCAAGGAGAAUCCUUCCCUGCGUACUAUGAAUGUUUUUAAGGUCUUAUUGCUUCAUGUCCUCAACACCAAAUGAAGGAAGAGUUGCUCAUUCAAUACUUUUACGAAGGACUACUUCCUAUUGAACGCCAAAUGUUAGAUGCCUCAGUGAGAGGUGCAUUGGUUGAUAAGACACCCAUGGCAGCCAAACUUUGAUUGCUAACCGAACAUUAAACGCUCAACAAUAUGAUGGAGUUGGGCAGAGAGACCUCCCACGACAGCAAGUAAAUGAGGUAAGUUCCAUUUCUGAUUUGCAAUCUCAAAUAACUAACCUUACUUCUAUGUUUUCACAGUUUAUGGAAUGAUGCAAAACGCAAGGAAUUUCCCUAAGUGUGUGUGGCGUAUGCUCAAUUCAAGGCCACCCAUUUGAGAAAUGUCUCAAUUGAUUGAGAACGGUGGAUGGGAAAGUGCAAACGCCAUUGGCUACCAAGGCCCGAAUCAGCCCCGAUCCAUAUGCCAACACUUACAAUUCGGGAUGGCGUGAUCACCCAAAUUUCAAAUGGAAUGAGUCACAACAACUUGCCCAACAAAGAGGAUUUCGGUCACAACCCCCUGGGAUAUACCUAAGGCCCUACGCACCAGCACAACCUCAACCACAACUUGCCCGAACUAAUUCAGGUACAUUCAUGGAUAAUGAUCAAAUUGUUCAAUUACUAACCUCUUUGGUGCAGGGGUAGCAAAACCAAAACAAAACAAUGCUCAAUCAAGUUAAGGAGGUGGAUGAGUUGAAGAAACAAAUGGGCCAAAUGACAGAGUUCAUGGGGCAAUUCAAAGAGCAAGGCAAACAGCCUAGCACAACCGUUGUGAAUCCAAGGGGAGAAUUGAAUCAGCCAAGGCCAUUACGUUGAGAAGUGGAAAAGAAGUUGGAACGGACCCCCAACCAUCAAAAUCUGCCCAAAUGGAGGACGAGAAACUGCAAUAAGAGGAGGAUGUCCAACACAUACCCACGACAAGGAAGGAAACAACCUUGUCGUGCACUUCUAGCAUCCCUAAAUCGUCCACCAUAGGUAAGUUAGGUCCAAUUUCGGUUAAUUCUAACCCUAUUCCACCCAAUGUUCCUUUCCCUCGUAUACUCAUGAAAACAAAGAAGGAAGAAAGUGAAAAAGACAUUCUUGAAACAUUCAGAAAAGUACAAGUCAAUAUUCCCCUUCUUGAUGCAAUCAAACAAGUCCCCAAGUAUGCCAAGUUCUUGAAGGAGCUAUGCACCACAAGAAAGAGAAUUUUGAACAAGGAGGUGGUAAGAGUAGGUGAAAAUGUUUCAGCCGUUUUGCAACAUAAACUGCCCCCUAAAUGCAAAGAUCCGGGCAGUUUUACAAUUCCUUGUGUAAUAGGCAAUACUCGCUUUGAACAUGCCAUGUUAGACUUAGGUGCAUCCAUAAAUGUCAUGCCCUAUUCCAUUUAUGCAUCUAUGAACUUGGGUAAGCUGAAAAAUGAUGGGGUAAUUAUUCAAUUAGCCGAUAGAUCUAACGCAUAUCCAAAAGGAGUUUUGGAAGAUGUUUUAGUGCAGGUUAAUCACUUGAUCUUUCUGAAUGAUUUCUAUUUUUGAUUUAUCAACCUCUAUUCCCUUUGCUGAAACUAUGUGACCUAAAACUAUGCCUUGUUUAACCAUAAAGUAACAUUUUUCCCAAUUCAAAACAAGGUUAGUUUUAAUGCACCAUUUUAAGAUUAAAGUAAGAUUAUCUAAACAACCAUCAAACAACUCACUAAAGACACUAAAAUCAUCCAUGAAAACUUCAAUGAUCUUCUCAACAAAAUAUGAAAAUAUACUUAUCAUGCAUCUCUGGAAUGUGGCUGGUGCAUUACACAAACCGAAUGGCAUUCGACGAUAAGCGAAAGUACCAAAUGGACAAGUAAAAGUAGUAUUUUCUUGAUCAUCUGGAGCUAUAACAAUUUGAUUAUAUCCCGAAUAACCAUCAAGAAAGCAAUAAAAAGAAUGACCAGCUAACCUUUCAAGCAUUUGAUCAAUGAACGGCAAAGGGAAGUGAUAUUUUCUUGUGGUGGCGUUGAGCUUCCUAUAGUUAAUGCAAACUCUCCAACCGGUUUGGAUACGAGUGGGCACAAGUUCAUUCUUUGCAUUCUUCACCACUGUGACUCCUGAUUUCUUUGGUACAACUUGAACCAGUGAAAGCCAAUGACUAUCUGAGAUAGGGUAAAUGACUCCACAAUCAAGAAGCUUGAUAAUUUCCUUCUUCACAACUUCCAUCAUUGGAGGGUUAAGUCGACGUUGAGCCUCUCGAGUUGGUUUAGCCCCCAUCUCUAGAAGUUUGCGAUGUAUGCAAGUUGUAGGGCUAAUUCUCUUGAUGUCGGCCAAUGUCCAUCCAAUUGCCGUUUUGUGCUCUUUGAACACCUGAAUCAAUUUCUCCUCCUCCAUUGCCUUGAGUGAUGAGGAAACAAUGACGGGCAAUGUCUCGUUAUCUCCAAAAAAUACAUACUUUAAAUGGUCCGGCAAUGGUUUAAGCUCAAGGACGGGUGCCUGAAUCACGGAAGGUAACAACUUGUUAGUAGAAACGGGAAUUUGAAUUGGGAUUGGAGGCUUACCAAGAUGUUGUGGCAAUGACUCAAGGGCAGCAACCAUCUCUCCUAUUUUUGCACUAGGGGGCACGGCAAGGAUCUCCCUAUCCAUGCCGUGAGGGUGCUUGAAAUCUGCCCAUUUGUUUUGAAGUCCAAUUCCUUGUGCAAUUGUUGUUUCAAGGGCAUCCUCAUUCAAGGAGUCAAGGUAAUCCUGCGCCAAAGCAUUAAAUACAUCAAUAGAGAAACAAGAAUGAUCAUCCUUAGGAUAUUUUAUAGAUUCAGAAAUAUUGAAAUCAAUAACAUCCCCAUCAAAUUCCAUUGUUAAUGUCCCUUUAAACACAUCUAUCUUGGUGCGGGCUAUUUUCAUGAAGGGUCUUCCAAGGAGGAUCGUCAAGGGUAUAGAAUGGGCUGAAUCUUCCAUCUCAAGCACGUAGAAGUCCGCUGGAAAUACUAAGUCAUUAACCUGCACCAAAACAUCUUCCAAAACCCCUUUUGGAUAUGCAUUAGAACGAUCGGCUAAUUGAAUGAUAACACCAUCGUUUUUAAGAUCUCCUAGGUUCAUAGAUGCAUAAAUAGAGUACGACAUGACGUUAAUGGAUGCACCUAGAUCUAACAUAGCAUGCUCAAACUUGGUAUUAACAAUAACACAAGGAAUUGUAAAACUACCUGGAUCUUUGCAUUUUGGUGGUAGUUUUCCUUGCAAAACGGCUUAAAUAUUCUCACUUACCUUUACAACUUCUUUGUUUUAAAUCCUCUUCCUUGUUGUACAAAGUUCCUUCAAAAACUUAGCAUACCUUGGAACUUGUUUGAUUGCAUCGAGGAGUGGAAUAUUCACUUGCACCUUCCUAAACAUCUCAAGAAUAUCAUUCUCAUUCUCUUCCUUCUUUGAUUGCUUGCAUCUGCGAGGGAAUGGUGCAUUGGGUGGAAUAGGGUUAGAAUGGGUCAAAUUGAAUCACCCUUACCGGAAUUGGAUGGCUUAGGUUGAUAGGAGCAUAUUUAUGCGACUUAAUUGGCUUGUUCUCGUGCUUUUACGUUGUGUUUCUUUAGUUAUUUCAGUGUUUAAAGUCACUUUUGUGUGUUUUCAGAUUCUAAGGCCAAAGUGUGCAAAAUGAUGUAAUUUGGAGCCUUUUGGAGCAAAAGGAAUGGAUGAAUUGAAGACUUGAAGAAAUUAGGUUUCCUAAUCAACGAAGGAUUCCUAAUUGACAAAGGAUUCCUAAUCAACGAAGGAUUACUAAUUGAAGAUGGAUUCCUAAUCACAUGAGGAUUCCUAGAAGAACAAGGAUUCCUACUUGAAGUAGGAAAGUUAAGCCAAGAUUUCCUAUUUUGGUUUGACCUUUCCUAAUUCUAAAAGUCCUUAUGUUCUAGCCACUUUGAAGACUUCAUAUGCACUUAAGGACACAAAACAAAGGCCCUAGAACCCUUAGUGACCCUUGCCGCACACACCUUGCCCAUUCCUCUUCCUUACCGUGCAAGGGAGAGGGUUGUUUCCUGAUUCUUUGCAUUUAAACACAUUCCUAAUCUAUUUUAACACCUUGCCGCACCUUUUAGCCUAGUUCCUUUAAAUUUCUGAUUUGAUUUCCUAAUUCUAGAAGCUUUAGACUUAAUUUCUGUUUACCUAAUUAACCUAGGGUUUUAUUUCCUAAAUCCCUUUAAAUAUACUUCCUUUUUGCAGCCACAAUUCAGCCAUUCACUCCCAUUCACGCCAGAAUUCAUUCACCCAUCCUUGCCGCACCCAUCCUUCACCAUUCGCCAUAGUUUUUGACCCCAAACACUCCUAGCCGCACCAUACAUCCAUCCUAAACACCAUUCCACCCUUCUACACCAUCCAUAACCCCCAAAACUCACCACCAAACCACUUGUGUGCCGCAACAAGAAGGAAGAAGGAAGGACCCUUGGAUGUCUAAGCUUCAUUGUUGGUGCAUUCUAGGUGUAAUUCGUUUUAUGAUUUCAAUGUGUAAUUUCUUUUCUUUUCGUUUUGCUAUGAACAUGAGUAGCUAAACCCCUAUUGGUAAGGGGUGAUUUCAAAGCCAUGACUAUGUGUGCAAUUUGAUUUGAUAAAUUCCAGUUAUGAAUUCUUGAAUCGUGAAUGCAAUUGGCUUAACUAUUUGAUUAAUAACUUAUUUGUGUUUGUUAAUUAGGGGUCGACACUUAAUUGACAUGCAUAAAUCUGGUGCUAGAGUAUAAGGAUGUUUCACAUAAUCGUUACAAACUUAUAUUCAUAUGUAGUGAAGGUUGCUAGUCACAAUCGCGUUAAGUUCAAUUCCUAGCAUGAGUGACAUGAUGUUAUAGUUGCAAGUGCUUUGUCAUUGCUUAUGGUUUUCAUUGAACGUAAUGAUCUUUGAUCGUAUCUCUAUUAUGAUGUCAUGUAGGGGACGUUUGAAGAAUGCUUUGGGUUGUCGAAUGAUGCCAUCCAAUCCAAUAAUACAAGGAAAAUCUGAGAGUUAGCUAGUGAUGUCACGGUUAAUUUGGGGCAAUGUCGUUCAUAAUUCUAUGAAGGAAUAACUGGAAAUCGAGUCGUUUGCAUACGUGUCAUGUGUGGAGAAAGAGCCUCUAACUAAUCCAUCAUCCAUUUAAACUCCCAAUUCGUUUUACAAUCUGUUUUAAUUACAACGUUUUGUCUUGUUUUCAAUUUCGUCAAAACCAAAUCCCCCUUUAUUUUAAAGUGUUAGAUUAGUUAGAAAUCCAUUUAGUUUGUGUUUUUAAGUGUUUUGAUUCAAGUUGUAACCCAAUUUCGUCCAAAUUUGUGUUUGUGUUCAAAAUUGUCCAGAAAGUGUUUUUAAGGCAGUUUUGAGUGUUUGGUUGCUGUUUUGAGUCUUUUGGUUUGUUUUAGUGUUUUAAAUUUUAGUUUUGCAUUCUUUGAGUCUAGUUUAGUGUUUUAAACUUUGUUUUUACGUUUUUAAGUCAGUUUUCAAGUGUUUAGCAAUCCCUCAUAAUCCUCGGUUUAGAACGAUCCCUACUUACAUACUUUGCUAGAAUUGAUAAAAAGAGGGUUUAAUUUGUGUGUUUAGUUAUUUUACGCAUCAUAGGUGCAUUAGGUGGCUGUGGCAAGGAUGAUUCUUUCCUUGCUGUGGCUUUGUCCAUCUCCUCCUCUUCAAUCAGCAACUUUUCAUCGUCUUUUGAACUUGGUGAUAGGAACAUUUUUAUACAACUUAAUUGGCUUGUUCUUGUGCAUUUACGUUGUGUUUCCUUAGUUAUUUUAGUGUUUAAAGUCAUUUUCGUGUGUUUUCAGAUUCUAAGGACAAAGUAUGCAAGAAGAUGCAUUUUGGAGCCUUUUAGAGCAAAAUUGGGCUUGGAAUGGUUAUCACAUGCUUGGAGCAAAAGGAAUGGACGAAAUUGAAGAUUUGAAGAAGUAAGGAUUCCUAAUCAACGAAGGAUUCCUAAUUGAAGAUGGAUUCCUACUCAAAUGAGGAUUCCUACUCCAACAAGGAUUCCUACUUGAAGUAGGAAAGUUGAGCCAAGGUUUCUUAUUUUGGUUUGACCUUUCCUAAAUCCUAAUUGUCCCUAUGUUCCAGCAACUUUGAAGGCCUUUUAAGCAUUCUAGGACACAAAUUACACAUUCCUUGCAUGGUCCAAUUCCUUGCCGCACUUGUCCCACUUUCCUUUUCCCUUGCCGUGCAAGGGAACCUAUUUCCCUUCAGUUUUAGGACACUUUGCCUUCCCUAAAACACAUGCCGCAACCUCCUUGCCCUUUCCUCUUCCUUGCCGUGCAAGGGAGAGGGUUAUUUCCUAUUUCCUUGCAUUAAAACACAUUCCUAUUGUGUUUUAAUGCCUUGCCGCACCUCUUAGCCUUUUUCCUUAAGUUUUCUGAUUUUAUUUCCUAUUUCUAGAAGCCUUGGACUUAAUUUCUAUGAACCUAAAUAACCUAGGGUUUUAAUUCCUAAAACCUUUAAAUAAACUUCCUUUUUGCAGCCACAAAUCAUCCAUUCAUUCACCUAUUCACGCCAGAAAUCUAUCCCCACUCUCUGCCACAUCCAUCAUUCACUAUUCGUCCUACUUUCUGACCUAAAACAACCUCUGCUGCACCAUACACCUAGCCUAACCAUAAACCCAUCAUUCUACAGCAUCCAUAACCCCCUAAACUCACCACCAAACCUUGUGCCGCAGCAAAGGAAGGGAAGAAGAAGUGCUUGAAUGUUCUUGCUGUUCAAUUUGGAUCGUCGGAGCGUUUAGGUGUUUUCUUUUGUUUACAAUGUAUAAAUCUGUUUUCCUUUGUUUUGGGAACAUGAGGAACAAAGCCUUCUUGGCUAGGGGGCUAUUCAAAACCAUGAUUAUACUUGCAUAAUGAAUUGAUUACCUUCAAUUGUUAUUUCAUAAGUUAUGAAUUCAAUUUGCUUAAUUGUUUGAUUGAUACCCUAUUCUUGUAUGUUUAUUAAGAGUGCACGCUUAGUUUUCAUGCAUGGAUUUGAAGCUAAAAUAUAAGGGAGUUUCACCUAAUAGUUACAAACUUAUAUUUACAAGUAGUGAAGGUUGCUUAUAAACGAUCGCGUUAAGUGAAUUCUUAACAAGAGUAUCAUGCUCAUGAUAGUUCGAAUGCCUCGUCAAAAUGAUGUGAAAAAUAAGUUAACACACAAAAUUAAACCCUCUUUUUAUCAAUUGUAGCAAAGUAUGUAAAUAGGGAUCGUUCUAGACCGGGGAUUAUGAGGGAUUGCUAAACACUUGAAAACUGACUUAGAAAUGUAAAAACAAAGUUUAAAGCACUAGAUUAGACUCAAAGAAUGCAAAACUCACGUUUAAAAUACUAAAACAAACCAAAAACUCAAAACAGCAAUCAAAAGAUUCACAACUGCCUUAAAAACACUUUCUGGGCAGUUUUGAACACAAAGCAUCAAAUUGGACGAAUUUGGGUUUUAACUUGUACCAAAACACUUAAAAACAUAAACCAACACACUUUCCAAUUAAUCUAGGAAUUCAAAAUAAUUGGGGAAUUGAUUUGGACGAAAAUAAACUUAAAUGGCAGAUUGUAAGAGAAACAGAUUGUAAUACAAAGUUAUGAAGAAUCAAUGGAUGAUGGAAUGGCUAAGGGGUUCUUCUCCACACAUGAAAUAUAUGCAACCUAAAUCGAUUUCCAGUUAUCAAUUGAAUAAGUUAUGAAUCUCGACACUCCAAGUUAAUUAGGUCCGCUUAAAUUAACCUUCAGAUUUCCCUAGAAUCAUUGAAUUGGAUGAAUAUGCAUCGUAAACAAAUUAUUCCUAACAAGUUCUUUAUAUGAACAGCAUGAUAAAGACACAAGUUAGAAUCAUUACGUUCUUUGGAAAUCAUAAGCGUCGACAAGGCAUUCGUAACUAUGAAAAGCAUGAUACUCUUGCCAGGAAUCUACUUAACACGAUCGUGACUAGCGACCUUCACUACUUACGAAUAUAAAUUCAUAACGAUUAGGUGAAACAAAUUUAUAUCCUAGCAUCAAAUUCAAGCAUGCAAAUUAAGCGUGCACUCUCAACCAACAUACAAGAAUAAGUUCUAAAUCAAACGGUUAAGCAAAUUGUAUUCACAACUUAUACAACGAUAACUGAAAGUAAUCAACUUAGUUCACAUAUAUAAUCUUGGUUUUGAAUCCACCCUUAGCCAAAACAAAUUUAGCCAAUCAUACUUAAAGCAAAACAAAGAUUAUAUAAAUUAGACAUUGAAAUAUAAGAUAGAAAACACCUAAAAUCGUUUAACAACUCAGAAUGAAGAGCCAAACAAUCGUAGUGAAUCUGUCCCUGAUAGGAGCAUAUUUAUGCGCCUUAGUUAUUUAGUUCUUAUGCAUUUAUGUUGUGUUUUCUUAGUUAAGUUAGUCUUUUAAGCUAUUUUCAUGUGUUUUCAGGUUUUAAGGACAAAGUAAGCAAAAUGAUGCAAUUUGGAGCAUUUUGGAGCAAAAUUGGGCUAGAAUGAAGUUCAUGCACAUGAAGCACAAAGGAUGGACGAAUUUGAAGGAUUGAUGAAGCUAGGAAUGUAUUUUGAAGUUGAAGAAUUGAAGAUACAAAGUUUCCUAGUUGAAGUAGGAAAGGGCUUAAACGAAGGAUUCCUAAUCAAUGUAGGAGUCCUAAUUGAAGAUGGAUUCCUAGACGAAUGAAGUUUCCUACUCAAGCAAGGUUUCCUAUAUGAAGAAGAAGAGUUAAAGCCAAAGAAGCAGCUCAAGAUAAGGAUCUUAUCCAAAACCUCAUCCAUAACCUUAUCUUAGCUUAUCUUAUCCAAACAAACCUUAUCCUAUCCUAUCUUAUCCUAAUCCAAAACUAUCCACAUCUCAGCCACUUAGGAGGGUUUCUAACUAGAUUAGGAUGCUUAAAAUGGGAUUUCUAGAAGACCUAAUCUUAUCCUACAAAAAUGGCGCCUAGGAGCCUUUCUAGAAGCCUAAAAAUCUGCCUUGUAUUUCUUUCUAGAAACUAUCCUUUUGCCAUGAGUUCUCACCCAUUUCCUUUGGGAUUUUGGUUUCUAGAAGCCUUAUCCUUUCACACUCUUUGUGCCGCACAUUAUCUCCCAUUCCUUUUGGGUUUUUGAAUUGUUUUCCUUAUAGGAUUGUAUGUUAUUAUCCUAUGCAGUUUAGGCCUUUAAAACCUUGUCCUUGGCUACCUAGGAGAUGGGAUUUUUAGCCUAUAAAUACAAGCUUAUGCCGCACCCUUUCACUCACCACCCUCUACCAUAUUUUCACUACAUCAUUCACCCAAAAACCCCUCAUUAUGCCGUGAGUUUGCAAGGAGAAGAAGAAAGGAAUCUGCAGCCGUGCAUGCCAUUCAAGGAGCUUGGAUUGUUGGAGCGAUUCUAGGUGUUUUCUAUCUUUAUGUUAAUGUUUAAAUUUAUUCAUCUUUGUUUAUUUGCGAACAUGAGGAACUAAUUUCUUUAUAGUUAGAGGGGAAUUCAAAGCCAUGAUCAUAUGUUUUAUAUGACUUGAUUACCUCCAGUUAUGAUUUCAUGAAUCGUGAAUGUGGUUAACUUAUCUAUUUGAUUGAUAACAUGUUUAUGUAUGUUAAUUAAGGAUGCAUACUUAAGUUCGCAUGCAUGAAUUUGACGCUAGAGUAUAAGGGAAUUUCACCUAAUCGUUAUUAACUUAUAUUCAUAAGUAGUAAAAGUCGCUAGUCACGAUUGUGUUAAGUAAAUCCUUGGCAAGAGUAACAUGCGUAUCCCAUAGUUAUGAAUGCCUCGUCAAUGCUUAUGAUUUCCAUUGAACUUAAUGAUCUUUGAUAUGUGUCUCUAUCAUGCGUAUUCCAUAGUUAGGGUCCUUGAUAAGAAUAAUUUGGUUGUAAUGCGUAUUCCAUUCAAUUCAAUGAAUCUAGGGAAAUCUGAGAAUUAAUUGGUGCAAUCUAGUUAAUUUGGGGCAUUGUCAUUCAUGGUUUGUUGAAAGAGUAACUGGAAAUCGAGUCGUAUGCAUAUGUUUCAUGUGUGGAGAAGGAACCUUCUAACUAGCCUUUCACCAUUCUAUUUCAUCAAAAUCGUUUUCAUUAAAGUUUGUUUUCAAAGUUUAUGUUUUAAAGUCCAAUUUCGUCAAAACCAAUCCCCUUACUUUUAAGUCUUGUUUUUAGAGUCAAAACUUGUUUCUUUUAAGUCUUUUGAGUCUUUGAAGUUCUAUUUGAUCUGAUAUUAACUAGCACUCAAAUUAAACCCUCUUUUUGUCAAAUUGUAGUAAAGAUGUAAGUAGGGAUCGUUCUAAACCGGGGAUUAGGAGGGAUUGCUAAACACUUGAAAACUGACUUAAAAACAUAAAAACAAAGUUUAAAACACUAAACUAGACUCAAAGAAUGCAAAACUAAAGGUUAAAACACUUAAACAAACCUAAAACUCAAAACAGCAACUAGAAGGCUCAAAACUGCCUAAAAACCACUUUCUGGGCAGUUUUGAGCACCUACACUAAUUUGGACGAAAUUUGAUGAAAACUUGAAUCAAAAUACUUAGAAACACAAAUCAAAACACUUUCUAACUAAUCUAAGACUUCAAAUUAAAGGGGGAUUUGUUUUGGACGAAAAUUUAACACAAAACAGAAACUUUAAACUAGCACAGAUUGUAAAACGAUUUUUGGUGAAAUAGGAUGGAUAAAAGGCUAGUUAGGAGGUUCUUCUCCACACAUGUCACACUUGCAAACAAAACGAUUUUCAGUUGUUCUUCCAAUAAAUUAUAAAUACUCAAUGCCCCAAAUUAACCGUGAAUUGCACUAAUUAACCCUCAGUUUUUCCACAAUUUAUCAAGUUGGAUGAUUGCAUACGACAACCCAAAACAUUCCCUACAAGUUCCCUACAUGAAUUGCAUAAUAGAGAUACAAGCACGAAUCAUUAAGUUCUAUGAAAAACAUAAGCAUUGACGAAGCAUUCGUUACUAUGAAUUGCAUGAAAACUUAUGCUAAGAAUUCAUUCAACGCGAUCGUUUUCAAGCGAUCCUUCACUACUUGUGAUUAUAAGAUUGUAAACUAUUAGGUGAAACUCCCUCAUAAUCUAGCAUCAUAUUCAUGCAUGAAAAACUAAGCGUGCACUCUCAAUCAACAUACACAAAUAAGUUAUCAAUCAAAUAGAUGAACGAAUUGAAUCCACAACUUAUGAAAUAACAACUGAAUGUAAUCGAAAUCAAAUUGCAAGCAUGUACAUGGUUUCGAAUUACCCCCCAACUAAGGGGGUUUAGUUCCUCAUACUCACAACACAAAGUUUAUUGAAUUGAAACAUCGAAGACAUAAGAAAGAUUACACCUAAAACGCCAAGAAUUCCACUUUGAAUUUCUGACUUCAAGCUCCUCUUUCUUCUUCUCCUUGCUGCGGCAGAGAGGGUUUAGGGUGUUUUGGAUGUGAUUUUUGGUUUAGAAGGGAAUUAGGAUGAUAUGGUGGUGCGGCAAGAGGUAUGGGUGGUGUAUGGAGUGUAGAAUGGUGUAUGGAGGUGUAGAAUGGUGGCUGGAGUUGUAGAAUGGUUGCGGCAAAGAGUGGGAAGUGGGCUGGACGAAUUUUCUGAAUUAUGGAGAGGGUGAUGUUCGGCCAAAGGCUGUAAAACACAUAUAUAUAGGCACCUAAACCCUAAAGAAAUCAGGUUAGACAAUGGGCUAGGGUUUAGGUGCGGCUAGGGUUAGAAAUCCACAAGGAAUUUAGGGUUUACAAUCAGAUUUUUUGCAUGGGAAAAGGCCUAGGGUGCGGCUUGGGCUUAGGGUAGAUAGAUUAGGGUUUAACUUGGCAGAAUUUAAAUGAUUAGGCCCUAGGGUGUGGCUGAUUAAAUGGGCUAGGAUUAGGGUUAAGGUGCGGCAUAGGUCCAAGAAGUGAGGAUGGGUCAUCCAAAAGCCCAAAGCCGAGAAUAGAAACUCACGAAAAUGGAAACCUCCAAGAUAGAAACUUCCAACUUUAGAAACUUUGGUUGCCAAUUCCGAUUUAGGAAAGAUCAACCCAAAAUGGAAACUUUUAGGCUUAGCUUUCCUACUUCAAGUAGGAAACCUCAAAUCUUCAACUCUUCAAUUCCAUCCCAUCCUUGUGUUCCAAGCAUGUCCUUUUCAAUUCAAGCUCACAUUUUGCUCCAAAAGCUCCAACUUGCAUCAUUUCAUGUAAUAUGUCCUUUAAACCUGAAAACACAUGAAAGUAGCUUAAAAGACUACUUUAACGAAGAAAACAUAACAAAGAUGCAUAAGAACUAGCUAACUAAGGCGCAUAAAUAUGCUCCUAUCAAAUUCCCCCACACUUAGCUUUUGCUAGUCCUCGAGCAAAACAAACAAAAGAAAGGAAACAAAACGAAACAAACUUAACCAAAACAAACCUAAACCUUCCAACGUUUGCCUCAGGGAUUUCCAAUGCACAUGACAUGUUAAAGAUUGUUAUCCCCACAGAUUUGAGUCAUCUUUACACAAGCACAUACUUAAUUAAAGCCACCACUUACUAGUUCACAAGUAAUCAAUUAAAACAAUGCUUUGAAUGUAGUAACAUGCCUUAGAGAAUUCCCUCAAUUCCUUACAAGAUAUACACUCUAUUUUCACUCAGAUUUUCUAACUCCACACCCUACACUAGUCAUAUGUGAGAAGAUUGAUGUAGAUAUGAAAACGAAUGCUCACAUAUAUGUAUCACAAAGAACGCAAUUUCUAGAGUUUAAGAAGCAUGUUUAGAUAUGAUCUCAUGAAUGGGAAUGCUACUACUUAGAUGCGAGAACCAGUGACACCAUAUGCUCAUACCAAAUUCAAACUCCACAAAUUGAAACACAUAACACUCAAGAUAGAAGUUAAGGGUUGUAACGGGGCUUGGGGUAUUGGUUAACAAAGGAAAGGAUAGGGAAAACAAACGUUCUUCAAGCAAUAGUAAGCAAAGCAAUGAAAUUGAGACUUAGAAUUCACUUAGAUUGCAGAAAUUAACUUUAAAACACAAGGGGAAAGACUUAAACAACUCUUAGGGCCGAAUUCAUUGUUUGGACCCUUACUUCAACAAACAAUACUUUGAACUCUUUUUCUCACUUUUCAACUCUUUUUUUCAACUUUUCACACUUUUUUUCUUCAUUUUUUCUUUUUCCACGAAUUUUUUUCUUUUCUUUUCUUUCCACACGUGCCUAUGGCACACAAUUCCUCAUGAAAAAUACUUCCCCCACACUUGGUUUCUGCCAACAUAGAUCAAAAGGAAUUCAAUUCGAAUCAUGCUUUACUAUGCUUUAAGAACAAGGGUUUAGAUGGUCCUAAACUAGGCUAGGUGAGGAAAACAUGGGUUAACAAAUAACGAAGGCUAAACAAGGCUCAAUGGGGUUAAAACCUUAAACAUACAAUGACAUAGGGCACACGGCUUUUUGGCUAAGGUGGUGGUCACUACACAACUUCAUCUUGAAUAUGUGUUAUGCAAAUCAAUAACAUGCUUUGAAUGAAAUGGGCAUGAGUUCUAGCAUUUGGAACUAAAUGAUGAAACGCCUUCUAAGUAGCAACCAAGCAAGGAAUAAUGAGAUCAUGGCAACGACUUAGAAAACAAAGAAUGCACAGAUUUUAACUCUCCAAAUAAACAUUUAGGCUCAAGUCUCACAAGGUUGUAGCGUUAGUUUGAGUUCCUUCCUUCAAGCAUGUUACAAAAACUGAUUUUUUCUUUUAUGAUUGCAUGUGAAUUCAUAAGUUAUAACCACAACUAAGCAUAACAAAGAGUAAAUCAAAACUUUCAUCCAUGUUAAUCACUCUCUUUAACAGUCAUGUAAUUACAAAACCGAAUCCUCAUCAUUGUGUUGGAAGGUACCCUAAGACACAAACAAACACACAAAAACAACUCUUUUUGGGUUUUUAUAAACAAAUUUUUUCAAAUUUUUAUGUGAUUUUCGGAUUUUUACUUCAAAAACACACUAAAACACAUCAAAACUGCUCAAAAAACACUUAAAAACAGCAAGGAACAAGUCUUCAAGUUUAAGGGUGAUAAAAUCCCACGAAUUUGCAUCUAAAACACUUAGUUACCCCCCACACUUAAAUCAAACAUUGUCCUCAAUGUUUCAAGCAUAAAAUCACACUAAACAAAAAGAAACACACAACAGCAACUAAAACAACUAAAUAGGCAGAUUCGAAAUAAAUAACAAAGUGAAGAGUUUAGGAACGCAAAUCUGGAAUUGGAGUGAUUCCGUUGGUCUUCCUUUGUUGAUUUGCAUGGGUUGCCUCCCAAGUAGCGCUUUCUUUAACGUCGUACAGCCGGACGAAAAGCCCAUUCAUUCUCCAUUUGU